rnacentral:rRNA from 1 species
UGGGGAAUUUUGGACAAUGGGGGAAACCCUGACCCAGCCAUCCCGCGUGUGCGAUGAAGGCCUUCGGGUUGUAAAGCACUUUUGUCAGGAAAGAAACGUCAUGGGUUAAUACCCCGUGAAACUGACGGUACCUGCAGAAUAAGCACCGGCUAACUACGUGCCAGCAGCCGCGGUAAUACGUAGGGUGCAAGCGUUAAUCGGAAUUACUGGGCGUAAAGCGUGCGCAGGCGGUUCGGAAAGAAAGAUGUGAAAUCCCAGAGCUCAACUUUGGAACUGCAUUUUUAACUACCGGGAUAGAGUGUGUCAGAGGGAGGGGGAAUUCCGCGUGUAGCAGUGAAAUGCGUAGAUAUGCGGAGGAACACCGAUGGAGAAGGCAGCCUCCUGGGAUAACACUGACGCUCAUGCACGAAAGCGUGGGGAGCAAACAGG